rnacentral:sRNA from 1 species
GGUCUUGUUGAUUGUGGUACAUUUGGGGGGUAGGAGGAGAAUAACUGAGGAGGGCUUGAAGGCAGGAGACUGUUCUCCUGAAAGAUCCUGCUCCACCCUGCCAGGGCCCGUGGGUGGGGCCUGGGCCUGCCCUGCGUGAGCUGCCCUGGGCCUUGGCCCCAUGGAUCUGGAGGGUGGUGGUGGGAGGGUCAGAUGGGGGAGGGAGGGUCUUGGCAGCUGCCCCUGUGGAGGGCACGGUGGGGCUCAGGCCUGACUCUCUCCUGCCUUUUGCCCUGCAGCCCCCCGACACCCUUCCUGCCCUUCGCCUCUACUCUGCCUUUGCCCCCAGCGCCCCCAGGCCCCUCAGCACCUGAUGAAGAGGACGAAGAAGAUUAUGACUCCUAGCGCCUUCCACCCCCCAGGCCAUAGCCCCUUUUAGUUGGUUUUAGUUGCUCUGGGGGGAGGCGAGAAGGUAGAGCUGUUCUUAAAUUUAUU